rnacentral:lncRNA from 1 species
UUUAAGUGAUUUCCUAUUGACUAGGGAGAAGAUAGAUCCAUCUUCCAUCUAGUGUCUGGGCAUCUACAGAUUGAAAAUGGCAGACCAUUCCAACAAGAAACAUCCUAUCCUUAAGGAGGAGUUGAAGGCAUCAAGGUGUUGCAGUGGAUAUAAUGCUGGAACUGGAGUUAGGAAGACCAGAGUUCAAAUUUGACCUAGACACUUACUAGAUAUGUGACCCUGGGCAAGUUAUUUAACUUCUCUCUCUAUGCCUCAAUUUCCUAAUCUAUAGCAUGGAGAUAAAAAUAGCACUUUCCAUGGUUCUUGAAUGGGUUAAAGGAGGUAUUUGUAAAGGAUUUUGUGUACCUUAAAGCACUAUGUAAAUGGUAAUUUAAAAAAGAAAAGCCUUCUUUUUGGUUAUUAGCAACCUUUCCCCUCUCACUUGAGAUUUGAUUCAGAACUUUAUUCUGCAUCUAUUUUGUCCAUCAUAAAAUAUUUUGAAGUACAAAUAUCUACAUUUUUGUCUUCUCUUUUUAUGUGCUGAAUCUUCCAUGAGGAAAGGGAUUAUAUUUUGUUUCUCACCCAAUAUUUAAGUAGUAAGCAGGACAAAUGUUUGCUGAAU